CUGGAACCAUUACCACUACCGAACUAUGUAGUGGUUAGGGUGCCAGGAGAGUUCCUUUAAGCAAGAAAUUAUGGGAUAUUAGGAUUUGUCAAACCGUAUGACCCAGCACAUCAAAAUCAUUUUAUUUGUGUGUCCAUGCACUGUUUGUUUAAUGUGCAUUAUGUAAGUAAUUUGAAUUUUGUAAAAAAUAUAUAGGUUAUAACAG